rnacentral:rRNA from 1 species
UGGGGAAUAUUGGACAAUGGGGGCAACCCUGAUCCAGCAAUGCCGCGUGUGUGAAGAAGGCCUUCGGGUUGUAAAGCACUUUUAUCGGGGACGAAACGCGCCGGGUGAAUAGCCUGGUGAACUGACGGUACCCGAGGAAUAAGCACCGGCUAACUCCGUGCCAGCAGCCGCGGUAAUACGGAGGGUGCAAGCGUUAAUCGGAAUUACUGGGCGUAAAGCGUGCGUAGGCGGUAAGUUAAGUCUGCUGUGAAAUCCCUGGGCUCAACCUGGGAAUGGCGGUGGAUACUGGCUUGCUGGAGUACGGCAGAGGAAGGUGGAAUUCCCGGUGUAGCGGUGAAAUGCGUAGAGAUCGGGAGGAACACCCGUGGCGAAGGCGGCCUUCUGGGCCUGUACUGACGCUGAGGCACGAAAGCGUGGGGAGCAAACAGG